rnacentral:rRNA from 1 species
CAGCCGCCGCGGUAAUACGUAGGUGGCAAGCGUUGUCCGGAAUUAUUGGGCGUAAAAGGCUCGCAGGCGGUUUCUUAAGUCUGAUGUGAAAGCCCCCGGCUCAACCGGGGAGGGUCAUUGGAAACUGGGAAACUUGAGUGCAGAAGAGGAGAGUGGAAUUCCACGUGUAGCGGUGAAAUGCGUAGAGAUGUGGAGGAACACCAGUGGCGAAGGCGACUCUCUGGUCUGUAACUGACGCUAGGGAGCGAAAGCGUGGGGAGCGAACAGGAUUAGAUACCCCAGUAGUCCCUGUCUCUUUACA